UGGGGAAUAUUGGACAAUGGGCGAAAGCCUGAUCCAGCCAUGCCGCGUGAGUGAUGAAGGCCCUAGGGUUGUAAAGCUCUUUUGUGCGGGAAGAUAAUGACGGUACCGCAAGAAUAAGCCCCGGCUAACUUCGUGCCAGCAGCCGCGGUAAUACGAAGGGGGCUAGCGUUGCUCGGAAUCACUGGGCGUAAAGGGUGCGUAGGCGGGUCUUUAAGUCAGGGGUGAAAUCCUGGGGCUCAACUCCAGAACUGCCUUUGAUACUGAAGAUCUUGAGUUCGGGAGAGGUGGGUGGAACUGCGAGUGUAGAGGUGAAAUUCGUAGAUAUUCGCAAGAACACCGGUGGCGAAGGCGGCUAACUGGCCCGAUACUGACGCUGAGGCACGAAAGCGUGGGGAGCAAACAGG
rnacentral:rRNA from 1 species